rnacentral:rRNA from 1 species
AGAGUUUGAUCAUGGCUCAGAAUGAACGCUGUCUGCAUGGAUUAGGCAUGCAAGUCGAACGAAAGCUUUUCUAUUGAUCCUUCGGGUGAUUUAGUUGAGUGAAAGUGGCGAAAGGGUGAGUAACGCGUGAGCAACCUGCCUCUAUGUCGGGGACAACAGUUGGAAACGACUGCUAAUACCGGAUGUGGCUUCUUUAAUGCAUGUUUUAGAAGCUAAAGAUUUAUUGCAUAGAGAUGGGCUCGCGUUCCAUUAGCUAGUUGGUGAGGUAACGGCUCACCAAGGCGACGAUGGAUAGGUGGUCUGAGAGGACGAUCACCCACACUGGGACUGAGACACUGCCCAGACUCCUACGGGAGGCUGCAGUCGAGAAUCUUCCGCAAUGCGCGAAAGCGUGACGGAGCAAUGCAGAGUGUGUGAUGAAGGCCUUAGGG